GAGGAAAGUCGGAGCUCCAUAGAGCAGGGUGCUAGGUAACGCCUAGUGGGAGCGAUCCUAAGGAUAGUGCAACAGAAAUAAACCGCCACUAUUGUGGUAAGGAUGGAAAGGCGAGGUAAGAGCUCACCAGCAGCUAGGCGACUAGUUGGCUAUGUAAACCCCACCUGGAGCAAGACCAAGAUAGGAAUAAAGAGUGCUGCUCGUACUCUCC
rnacentral:misc_RNA from 2 species